CCAGCGGCACAAUGUGAUCCACCGGCAAGGAGGGAUGCCAAUAAGGCGUCCGAUAAGAUAAGUCUCAUAAAAUAUAUAGAUGUAUGAUAGUUAAGACUGAGCUAACAGAUGAGAAUCCUAGUCAUUGGCCAAGCAGCAUUGUACCUAAUACAAGUUUCUGUGUAUUCAUUUGGGCCUAACUUGGGUAGCAGCUGGCUUAAAGUUCACAUGUGGCAGUGGGGCUCAGGCAGUUUUGGAGGAAAGAUUUAUCGUAACAGAAUGGUGUCAGAAGUGGGAUGACCCCAUGUCCCAAGGUUUCCAGAGAAAGAGGGAAACCUGCCGCCACUGCCUGCCCUGUCGGGCUGCUGAGAGGCAUCGGAGCACCUUCCAUAUGCUCUCGACAUCCUGGCGCUUCUGGAGUUUAGACUUGGCACUCCCAAGAUGAUAAAGACAGAUCCAGAUGAAAAAAAAAAAAAACCUCUAAAGGUUUACACUACCUUUAAAAAUAUAUGUGGGCUUGUGAGAGAAAAAAUAACAGGAGGAAAUAAGAGUAGCCGGUUGUGGUAGCAUACGCCUGUAGGAUUUGCUAAAGGAAACAGAGGCAGGCGGUUUCCACACAGAAACCCUGUCUCGGGAAAAAAGAAACAAAAGAAAGUAAAAAUAAAGUAAUAAAAAACCCACAUAAAGAUAAAAAAUACACAGAGAAUCUGGAUACUAUAUGCCAUAUUGUUGUCUUUAAAUUGUUUGAUUGCCAAGGAAAGACUUACUGCUGCUAAAAUACAUUUGACUAUAAUGCUGCUAAAUUAAUCCAACUUAUACAUUUUAAAAAUGCUUUGACUUCAAAAUUUAAGUCUAAGGACAAGCUACUUGAAAAAAAUUUUUUUCUUGUAUUUCCACAGAAAAUUAAAAGCUGUGGAUUCCUUCCAGACUAAUAUGGUUUGAUCAAGCAAGACCCCCCUGGAGCUUGAGAAAAUACAGCCUUACAGACUACAAAAACAAGGACUUGGUCAGGUUUCUAUGUUAGUGGUAUAAACAUUGGCCCCAAUCAGCAGGAAGCAGUUUAGAAAGAACGACGGCCACAUUCCCAAUUGUUUUCAUUUAAAUGGGGUUAGUUAUAAAUGAUGAUGAGCAUAAUCAAUCUCUUUUUAAAGAAAGAAAAGGGGAAUAGAAUAUAGGAAUGAAUACUUUACAUUGGUAUAGAUUUUCAUUUAUUGAUAUACAACUUUAAGGACAAUUUUGUGAUAUGUAUAUGUCUCCUCUUGUUUAGGUAUUGUCUUUAUACAGAUCUUUUAAUAUAGUUACCUAUAAUAAAAACUUAUAAUUAGGUUAGUUAGGUUUUCUAGAUAUAUAGAGAUGUAUUUGAGAUAGUUAGGUACUCUUCAGACCUUUCAAAGACCUACAGAAAUAUGGCAUUUAAAUGGUUUAGGGUUUUUCUUGGCAGUGAGACACAACUGCUCUUGGCACACCAAUUACGUCAGAAAGGAGGAUGGGCAUUGGAGAAACUGGUUAUGGAGUUUGCUUUCAACAUGGCAAGAUUAGCCAUUUGGGCAAGAAACUGCUCUUGCCUGGACUGUUUGUUGCUGUAUAAAUUGGACAUACAGGACCCACAAGAAAGUAACUGCUAAACUUACAAAAUAAGACAGUACUGAAGGGUUCCUGUUAAAAUGGAGAAGUGUGCUAGGCACACUAUGUCCUAUAGGCUAAAGAUGGAUGCCCCAACGUUAAAGAGGAACUUUGGGUGACUGUCCAGGUAGCGAGAAGUCUCUGUCAGUUCUAGAGUUUAUAUAUUAUCCUUCUGUGGUCUUUGAUAGAGUUGAAGACAGAUAGUUAUGGUUAUAGUUUUCUUCAGUUAUUAUAAAAGAUAAGUUAUCCUUCUUUUUAUUUAGACAGAAAAGAGGAGAUGAUGGGGAAUGUACUGUGUAUGUUUAUCUUAUUGAUUGUUAAAUAAAAUACUGUUUGGCCAAUGAGACAGCAAGUAGAGGACUAGGAGUCAAAGAGGAUUCUGGGAAAUGUAGUAGAGAAGUGCUGAUCCAGGCAGGAGUGACAUAGCAAGGAGACUCAUAUUUAAGCGAAGGAGUAACAGGAAGGGACCCUUUUU
ensembl:lncRNA